UUUGUUUUUGUUGUUUUUUAUACAUA
rnacentral:sRNA from 1 species